rnacentral:rRNA from 1 species
UACGGGGGGGGCAAGCGUUGUUCGGAAUUACUGGGCGUAAAGGGCUCGUAGGCGGCCAACUAAGUCAGACGUGAAAUCCCUCGGCUUAACCGGGGAACUGCGUCUGAUACUGGUUGGCUUGAAUCCGGGAGAGGGAUGUGGAAUUCCAGGUGUAGCGGUGAAAUGCGUAGAUAUCUGGAGGAACACCGGUGGCGAAGGCGGCAUCCUGGACCGGUAUUGACGCUGAGGCACGAAAGCGUGGGUAGCAAACAGG